rnacentral:tRNA from 1 species
GGGCGAUUAGUGUUAAUGGUAGCACGAGUGACUUGCAAUCACUUAGAGCGGGUUCGAACCCCGCAUUGUCCAC